AACCUGGUUGAUCCUGCCAGUAGUCAUAUGCUUGUCUCAAAGAUUAAGCCAUGCAUGUCUAAGUACAAACUAAAUUAUGGUGAAACUGCAAAUGGCUCAUUACAACGGUUAUGACGUACCCGGGAUUUCCGAUGGAUAUUUCCAGUAACACUAGAACUAAUACAUGUAACUGCGUUUAUUAGUUUCAAACAGAUCUGUCGCUGAGUCAUGGUAAACGGUUGAUCGACUCGACGUCCCGGAACGGUUUCCGCCCCAUCAGCCUUCGAUGGUUGGGUAUUGGCCUACCAUUGC
rnacentral:rRNA from 1 species